AACCCAUGGUGAGGGCAUCUUCGCAAAAGGUCUUUGUAUCUAUCCCUUGCAUCGUAAACUCUUUCUAAAUCCAUCUGCAUAAAAGAGGAGAUAUCAUUACGUAAUUU
rfam:Gossypium arboreum cultivar AKA8401 contig_79226_1, whole genome shotgun sequence.